CAUUUUCAGUAAAGAAGUCCUGAGUAAAAACGUUUUCGUUGAAUACCGCUUCUCUGCCGAACCUUAUAUUAGUGCCUCAAGCAGUAAUGUCUCAGUUUUAUCUCAGUUAAUGCCUGCGGGCAAAGUAUAUACAUUAAGGAAUAUUGCAAAUGGCAAAGAUUAAAGGUCAAGUUAAGUGGUUCAACGAGUCUAAAGGCUUCGGUUUCAUUACUCCUGCUGACGGCAGCAAAGACGUGUUCGUACACUUCUCUGCAAUCCAGGGUAACGGCUUCAAAACUCUGGCUGAAGGCCAGAACGUUGAGUUUGAAAUUCAGGACGGCCAGAAAGGCCCGGCUGCUGUAAACGUAACAGCCAUCUAAUUU
rnacentral:sRNA from 1 species